GGAGUUAGCCGGUGCUUCUUCUGUGAGUGAUGUCCUUCCUGCCGGCUAUUAACCCGCAGGCCUUCUUCCUCACUGAAAGUGCUUUACAACCCGAAGGCCUUCUUCACACACGCGGCAUGGCUGGAUCAGGGUUGCCCCCAUUGUCCAAUAUUCCCCACUGCUGCCUCCCGUAGGAGUCUGGGCCGUGUCUCAGUCCCAGUGUGGCUGAUCAUCCUCUCAGACCAGCUACGGAUCGUCGCCUUGGUGAGCCGUUACCUCACCAACCAGCUAAUCCGACAUAGGCUCAUCCGAUAGCGCGAGGCCCGAAGGUCCCCCGCUUUCCCCCGUAGGGCGUAUGCGGUAUUAGCCUGGGUUUCCCCAGGUUAUCCCCCACUACCGGGCAGAUUCCUAUGCAUUACUCACCCGUCCGCCGCUCGCCACCAGGGAGCAAGCUCCCGUGCUGCCGCUCGACUUGCAUGUGUUAGGCCUGCCGCCAGCGUUCAAUCUGAGCCAGAAUCGAACCCUGA
rnacentral:rRNA from 1 species